UGUACUGACUCCAACUUUUUAGGUUCCAAAUGUGUCCUGCAUACCUCCUCACAAUUACAUAUAUUCUGUUACAGUUUGGGUUUUCAAAUUUCCUCAGCUGGUUUGAAAAAAAUAAAUUUCAUACUGAAAACAUAUUUAGGAAUUUUUCUGGAGUGUUUGAGAAUCACAGCUUUAAGUUGCCUUUGGGACUUCUGUAGGCAUACCAUCAGAUUUCCUGGGCAAUGGUAUUUUUGUCUCCUUCUUCCCACUAUUCUCCUUCACAGCUCACUGAACAGGCACAGUGCAAUUACACCCCCAGCUGCUUUGCAUGGGCCACUGGGGGCCCAGCUGGCUGCUGAAGCCCUAUUAAAGGGGCCUCCUGCCGGUGGGGCCUGAGGGUCAGACGGUUGAGCAGCAGCAGGAUAGUGCUCCAGCCCCAGUUCCUCAUCUUCCUGCUGCUCUGGGCCUCAGGUGAGAUCUUAGUGGGGAAAGAUUUUAUAUCGGAAAGAGAUUUUCCCAUCCAGAACAAAUAGAAUAUUUUAUCUAAAACAGUCUCAUUGCUUAUGAUAAAUAAGAAAACCUAUACACAUAAAUUUGUAUGUAUUUGUGAUGGCAUGUGUAGUCACUGUUAAUUUGUGAUUGCAGGCAUCUCUGGGGACAUCGUGAUGUCCCAGUCUCCAGGCUCCCUGGCUGUGUCUGUAGGAGGGAGGGUCACCAUCAACUGCAAGUCCAGCCAGAGUCUUCUGCAGAGCUCCAACCAGAAGAACUACUUAGGCUGGUAUGAGCAGAAACCAGGACAGGCUCCUAAACUUCUCAUCUCCUGGGCAUUCACCCGGGCAUCUGGGGUCCCUGACAGAUUCAGUGGCAGUGGGUCUGGGACAGAUUUCACUCUCACCAUCAGCGGUGCACAGGGUGAGGAUGUGGCAGCUUAUUACUGCCAGCAGCAUUAUAGCUCUCCUCCCACAGUGCUUCAGCCUCGAACACAAACCUCAUCUCCAGGGCGUCCCCAGGGCCACAGGCCAGUGCAUCUCUGCUGCGCCAGCUGCACCCUUCCUGCUCAGCCCUGUGUCCCCACAGCUUGAUGAGAGGCUGGCCUGGUGGCUCUAUCUUGCAACAAUAAAGAUUAGCCUGUCCUGUG